CCAAACAUAUUAUAAUAGAUCCAACAACAAGCCAAAGUCCCAAGUUUCAUAAUGGACAAAAGUACAAGUAAUUCAUCAAUAAUGAAGGUGCUACAAAAAUUGGAAUCUGCCCCAAAAUAGAAAUCCAACCCAAGAGACUUUUUUCUCUCUCUCCCUCUUCCGCCUCCUUUCAUCUAUCAAAUUUCUGCAACCUCUGCUCUUCUCCAAUGGAGCUGAAUUUUAGACACCCUAUAGUUCUUGAGCAUAUGAACAACUUUCAAGAAGGAACCAUUUCUUUUUGAGCGACGGAAAUUACAGUGUUGAAGCUCCAAACAUGACAGUCGGAUUCUUGCAGAUUUCGAAGCUGCUGUGAUGUUUCGAAGAUCUGGAAGUAUUUAACCAUUAGUUCAUUCUGAAUUUUUGAUAUGUUAUGAAAGAGACGAUGAGGAACAACUUAAAUGAAGAAAGCAUGCCGAUCUGAACAAUAGAAAAUGGAGUUUCGAAGCUCACAACAAAUCUGACGGGUUGACAGAAAAAUAAUAACCAGUCAUUCAUCAUACCUGGAUUUCUGGAGUUAUACUGCUCCGAGGGAUCUCAAAUUUGGAUAUGUUGUAGUUCACAAGCUGAGGAACAACUUCAAUGAAGAAAGUAUGCUGAUCUGAGCAAGAGAAAAUGGAGUUUCGAAGCUCACAACAAAUCUGACGGGUUGACAGAAAAAUAAUAACCAGUCAUUCAUCAUACCUGGAUUUCUGGAGUUAUACUGCUCCGAGGGAUCUCAAAUUUGGAUAUGUUGUAGUUUCACAAGCUGAGGAACAACUUCAAUGAAGAAAGCAUGCUGAUCUGAGCAAGAGAAAAUAGAGUUUCAAAGCUCACAACAACUCUGACGGGUUGACAGACAAAUGAUAAACAGUCACUCAUCAUACCUGGAUUUCUGGAGUUAUACUGCUCCGAGGGACCUCAAAUUUGGAUAUGUUGUAGUUCACAAGUUAAGGAACAACUUCGAUGAAGAAAGUAUGUUGAUCUGAACAAGAGAAAAUGGAGUUUCGAAGCUCACAACAAGUCUGACGGAUUAACAGAACAUUGAUGAACAGUUACUCAUCAUACUUGAAUUUCUGAAGUUGUACUACUCCGAUGGAUCUCAAAUGUGGAUAUGUUGUAGUUCACAAGAUAAGGAAAAAC
rnacentral:lncRNA from 1 species